GGGUGAAGUCGUAACAAGGUAACCGUAGGGGAACCUGCGGUUGGAUCACCUCCUUACCAAAGA
rnacentral:rRNA from 1 species